AGAAAUUUAGGUUAAACAGACCAAGAGCCUUCAAAGCCCUAAGCAAGUGUCCUCACUUAAUUUCUG
rnacentral:tRNA from 1 species